rnacentral:rRNA from 1 species
CAGUCGCCACGGUAAUACAGAGGCCUCAAGCGUUGUUCGGAUUCAUUGGGCGUAAAGGGUGCGUAGGUGGCUUGGUAAGUUGAAGGUGAAAUCUCGGGGCUUAACCCCGAAACUGCCUUCAAUACUGCUAGGCUCGAGGACUGUAGAGGAGAAUGGAAUUCACGGUGUAGCAGUGAAAUGCGUAGAUAUCGUGAGGAAGACCAGUGGCGAAGGCGAUUCUCUGGGCAGUUCCUGACACUGAGGCACGAAGGCCAGGGGAGCAAACGGGAUUAGAUACCCGGGUAGUCCCUGUCUCUUAUAU